GAUGAAGAACGUAGUGAAAUGCGAUAAGUAAUGUGAAUUGCAGAAUUCAGUGAACCAUCGAAUCUUUGAACGCACAUUGCGCCCGGCAGUAAUCUGCCGGGCAUGCCUGUCCGAGCGUCAUUUCUGCCCUCGAGCGAGUCCAGCAUCUAGGUGCUGGGCCCGCCCGGCGUUGGGGCACUACGGGGAGCCCUGUGCUGUCCCCCGUAGGCCCCGAAAUGAAGUGGCGGUCCUGCCGCGGCGCCCCCUGCGUAGUAUAACAGCUCGCUUCGGGACCCGGUGGAGGCCUGCCGUCAAACCUUACUCUCUAAGUUUGACCUCGGAUCAGGUAGGGUUACCCGCUGAACUUAAGCAUAUCAAUAAGCGGAGGA
rnacentral:misc_RNA from 1 species